UGGUUGUAGUGGUCCCUGUUGUAGUGGUCGUAGUGGUCCUGGUUGUAGUGGGCCUGGUUGUAGUGGUCGUAGUGGUCCUGGUUGUAGUGGGCCUGGUUGUAGUGGUUGUAGUGGUCCCGGUUGUAGUGGUCGUAGUGGUCCUGGUUGUAGUGGUCCUGGUUGUAGUGGUUGUAGUGGUCCUGGUUGUAGUGGUCCUGGUUGUAGUGGUUGUAGUGGUCCCUGUUGUAGUGGUCGUAGUGGUCCUGGUUGUAGUGGUCCUAGUGGUCCUGGUUGUAGUGGUCCUGGUUGUAGUGGUUGUAGUGGUCCCGGUUGUAGUGGUCGUAGUGGUCCUGGUUGUAGUGGUUGUAGUGAUUGUAGUGGUCCCUGUUGUAGUGGUCGUAGUGGUCCUGGUUGUAGUGGUCCUAGUGGUCCUGGUUGUAGUGGUCCUGGUUGUAGUGGUUGUAGUGGUCCCGGUUGUAGUGGUCGUAGUGGUCCUGGUUGUAGUGGUUGUAGUGAUUGUAGUGAUCCUGGUUGUAGUGGUCGUAGUGGUCCUGGUUGUAGUGGUUGUAGUGAUUGUAGUGGUUGUAGUGAUUGUAGUGGUCCUGGUUGUAGUGGUCCUAGUGGUCCUGGUUGUAGUGGUCCUGGUUGUAGUGGUUGUAGUGGUCCCGGUUGUAGUGGUCCUGGUUGUAGUGGUUGUAGUGAUUGUAGUGAUCCUGGUUGUAGUGGUUGUAGUGGUUGUAGUGAUUGUAGUGAUUGUAGUGGUCCUGGUUGCAGUGGUUGUUGUGGGCAUAGAAAUAGAAUUCAUCAUUCAAGUUACCGAUGGCAUAAUGGGUGGAGUCAUUGCAAAUGUACCCAUGAGUUUAAAUCUAAUUGCCAGGGUUAGAGGUUUCAAGCCCUUCCUAUGGAGUCUAUUUCCACAGUUGGAGGUCUGUAGCUGGGCUACGGAGAGAUCUAGCCUUACGGCAUGGUGGAAGGAACUCUUCCAUUUACAUAAGAGGCUCUGUAAUGGGAUUGUGGAGGUAGGAGCUAGUCGUUUGGCUUUUGGCCCAGUAGCCUGUAGUAACUGGACUAUACUUCUCAAUCAUUCAGCAGAUUAACCUGGGACAGUAUAUAGUAUAGGGUCCCGUGUGGCUCAGUUGGUAGAGCAUGGUGUUUGCAACGCCAGGGUUGUGGGUUCGAUUCCCACAGGGGGACCAGUAUGGAAAAAAUGUAUGAAAUGUAUGCAUUCACUCACUACUGUAAGUCGCUCUGGAUAAGAGUGUCUGCUAAAUGACUAAAAUGUAAAUGUAUAAAUGCAUUAAAAUACUCCCAAACUUUAGGAUGAGAGGCUGGAUUUAUAUCAGAAAUAAACGUGACCUUUUUCCAAAACACAUUUUGGUAGCAGUAGUGAAGUACGGAGGAAUUUUACUUAGAAAUCAUUUUGAUUUAUAAAUAACGUUGAAAUAAAAUAAUAAUACAAUAAUUUCUUUAUGAAAAUUCUGUACAAAUCUGUUAUGGAGUGUACACUUCAAAUGUAGCUGCACAAAAAAACUAUUUUGUGUUCAAUUAUUUAAUGGCUUGUUCUUAUUAAAUCAUGUAUUGGUCAGAAAGAAGGUUACAGCAGUUAAGGGUUUAUUUGUUUGAACUGUGAGAGAUUCUAAACACAUUGACCCAGCGUCGUCUAGGAAGGUGACGGGCUACAAAUCACAUAGAAUGAUAGCAGUGAGAAACUCUUCUUUCUCUCUCUCUCUCUCCAUUACAAACACUAUGCAUGCAUCCCUAAUGGUACCCUAAUCCCUAUUUAGUGCCCAUAGGGUCCUGGUCAAAAGUAGUGCAUUACAAAAGGGAAUAGGGUGUCAUUUGGGAUACAUUCCGAACAUAUCCCAAGGGAGGCCCCAUUCUGGCUUCGUUCAGCGCAGCUAUUGUAAAGUGAUGGUCUCUCCCAGGUUAACAGUACAGGGACUGGGUGAAUGAGUGAGAGUCUCUCCCAGGUUAACAGUACAGGGGCAGGUUAACAGUGCAGGAACAGCAUUACAUUUCACCCAGGCUUUCAACAACAUUAUAUUUCACCCAGGCUUUCAACAGCAUUAUAUUUCACCCAGGCUUUCAACAAUAUUAUAUUUCACCCAGGCUUUCAACAACAUUAUAUUUCACCCAGGCUUUCAGCAGCAUUAUAUUUCACCCAGGCUUUCAACAACAACAUAUUUCACCCAGGUUUUCAACAGCAUUAUAUUUCGUCCUGAUUCAUACAAUUUCACGCUAUAGCUCAACUGUUGUUUUAGCAGAGUUCUUUUAAAAGUUAUUUCAAUAAAAAAAAAAAUGUUAAAAAAUGUGUUGGCCAAUAGGGGGCGAUAGCAUCGUAUAUAACACAAUGUAUUAUGGGUACAUGAUCACGAUAGUACAGCGGCUGAUGUCUCCCAACCCUACUAGUAUCAGUACUACAAUACCCCAUGUCAGGAGAUGAGCCGCAGGUCUGCAGUGUUUCUGUAAACAGGCUGAGUCUUCACCCUGGCAAUAUGACUGGGAGCUUGAGGUAAAUAAGCCCCCCCCCACACACACACACACUGUACAACCCCCCUCCCACACACACACAAACACAC
rnacentral:tRNA from 1 species